AGUCGAGCGGANGANANGAGCUUGNUCUUCNAUUCNNCGGCGGACGGGUGAGUAAUGCCUANGAAUCUGCCUGGUAGUGGGGGACAACGUUUCGAAAGGAACGCUAAUACCGCAUACGUCCUACGGGAGAAAGCANGGGACCUUCNGGCCUUGCGCUAUCANAUGANCCUAAGUCGGAUUANCUAGUUGGUGGGGUAAUGGCUCACCAAGGCGACNAUCCGUAACUGGUCUGAGAGGAUGAUCANUCACACUGGAACUGANACACGGUCCAGACUCCUACGGGAGGCAGCAGUGGGGAAUAUUGGACAAUGGGCGAAAGCCUGAUCCAGCCAUGCCGCGUGUGUGAAGAAGGUCUUCGGAUUGUAAAGCACUUUAAGUUGGGAGGAAGGGCAGUAAGCUAAUACCUUGCUGUUUUGACGUUACCGACAGAAUAAGCACCGGCUAACUCUGUGCCAGCAGCCGCGGUAAUACAGAGGGUGCAAGCGUUAAUCGGAAUUACUGGGCGUAAAGCGCGCGUAGGUGGUUUGUUAAGUUGGAUGUGAAAGCCCCGGGCUCAACCUGGGAACUGCAUCCAAAACUGGCAAGCUAGAGUACGGUAGGGGGUGGUGGAAUUUCCUGUGUAGCGGUGAAAUGCGUANAUAUAGGAAGGAACACCAGUGGCGAAGGCGACCACCUGGACUGAUACUGACACUGAGGUGCGAAAGCGUGGAGAGCAAACAGGAUUAGAUACCCUGGUAGUCCACGCCGUAAACGAUGUCAACUAGCCGUUGGAAUCCUUGAGAUUUUAGUGGCGCANCUAACGCAUUAAGUUGACCGCCUGGGGNAGUACGGCCGCAAGG
rnacentral:rRNA from 1 species